rnacentral:rRNA from 1 species
GCCCAAUCGUGGGGAUAACGUAGCGAAAGUUACGCUAAUACCGCAUACGAUCUACGGAGGAAAGCGGGGGAUCGCAAGACCUCGCGCGAAUGGAGCGGCCGAUGUCAGAUUAGGUAGUUGGUGGGGUAAAGGCUCACCAAGCCGACGAUCUGUAGCUGGUCUGAGAGGACGACCAGCCACACUGGGACUGAGACACGGCCCAGACUCCUACGGGAGGCAGCAGUGGGGAAUUUUGGACAAUGGGCGCAAGCCUGAUCCAGCCAUUCCGCGUGCAGGAUGAAGGCCUUCGGGUUGUAAACCGCUUUUGUACGGAACGAAACGGUUCUCUCUAAUACAGGGGGCUAAUGACGGUACCGUAAGAAUAAGCACCGGCUAACUACGUG